AAUGCGGAGUAUAUAAGAUUCCGAUUUUAAAUAAUACGAAAAGUAAAGAAGCUUAUAUAGGAGUUAAGGCAAGGCCACUGGAGGUAAUGUUACAAGAACAUAAAAAAGAUGUAGCUAAAGGUAAACUAAGCGCAGCUUUAGCGAGAAGCGCCUACGAAGACGAUAUAGAAGUAAAUUGGACCGGAGCACAGGUAAUUAAUGCUUUAGCGAAAGAGAAACAUGAAAAACCAGGAAUGUCUCCUAAACGACUACUCAGUACGAGAAUUACCAGCCUCUUGGAAGUACCUCCUCAGUAGAGCUAACACCUAACACUAGAGCAUCCAUGCUCCUAUGUUUAUUUUUUACAUUUUAUUUAUGUAAAAGGC
rnacentral:lncRNA from 1 species